UACGUAGGGUGCGAGCGUUAAUCGGAAUUACUGGGCGUAAAGCGUGCGCAGGCGGUUUUGUAAGCCAGAUGUGAAAUCCCCCGGGCUUUAACCUGGGAAUGGCAUUUGGGACUGCAAGGCUUGAGUGCGGCAGAGGAGACUGGAAUUCCUGGUGUAGCAGUGAAAUGCGCAGAUAUCAGGAGGAACACCGGUGGCGAAGGCGGGUCUCUGGGCCGAUACUGACGCUGAGGAGCGAAAGCGUGGGGAGCGAACAGGA
rnacentral:rRNA from 1 species